rnacentral:rRNA from 1 species
UACGUAGGGGGCAAGCGUUGUCCGGAAUCAUUGGGCGUAAAGCGCGUGUAGGCGGUUCGAUAAGUCUGCUGUGAAAGUCCAGGGCUCAACCCUGGGAUGGCGGUGGAUACUGUCGAGCUAGAGUACGGAAGAGGCGAGUGGAAUUCCCGGUGUAGCGGUGAAAUGCGCAGAUAUCGGGAGGAACACCAAUUGCGAAGGCAGCUCGCUGGGACGUCACUGACGCUAAGACGCGAAAGCGUGGGGAGCAAACAGG